rnacentral:rRNA from 1 species
GUGGGGAAUAUUGGACAAUGGGCGCAAGCCUGAUCCAGCCAUGUCGCGUGAGUGAUGAAGGUCUUAGGAUUGUAAAGCUCUUUCACCGAUGAAGAUAAUGACGGUAGUCGGAGAAGAAGCCCCGGCUAACUUCGUGCCAGCAGCCGCGGUAAUACGAAGGGGGCUAGCGUUGUUCGGAAUUACUGGGCGUAAAGCGCACGUAGGCGGAUAUUUAAGUCAGGGGUGAAAUCCCGCAGCUCAACUGCGGAACUGCCUUUGAUACUGGGUAUCUUGAGUAUGGAAGAGGUGAGUGGAAUUCCGAGUGUAGAGGUGAAAUUCGUAGAUAUUCGGAGGAACACCAGUGGCGAAGGCGGCUCACUGGUCCAUUACUGACGCUGAGGUGCGAAAGCGUGGGGAGCAAACAGGAUUAGAAACCCUAGUAGUCC